AUCCAGCAGACGAGUCCCAUAUAGGACGAAACGCGCAUCCUGGAU
rfam:Schistosoma rodhaini strain Burundi genome assembly, scaffold: SROB_scaffold0001784